rnacentral:lncRNA from 1 species
AGGCCGUGGGGCGAUGUUAGUCCUGUGCUGCCCCCUCGUGGAUGCUGCGAGGCUCGCAAGAGAUGGUGGCCCUGAAGGCGCUUUGGGAAUUGUGGAUCAGGCAUCAGUGUGAAGCUUCCUGCUUGUUUGGGAACGAUGGCGGAGGUCAUGAGCUUAUGUUGGGCGAGGGAAAAUGAGUGCAAUGCACUAGGAACAUCCACUCUGUCUGCAAACCCAGAGCGUUCACACAGCACUCUGCUUUAUCUGAGACCUCCCAGCCAUGCCUUUCCAACGCCAUUCUACAGAUGAGGAAACUGAGGCCCUUACCGGCAAGAUUAGGUGACCGCCCACGGUCACACAGUCAGUCACCAGCUGAAAGGAACAGUGAGAAUCUGAGGGCUUAUGGUCCGAGCCCUCAGCCCUGUUUCUGCUCUAACUGGGUGCAACCAGGCUCCCUCCGUGGCAGCCUCUCCUGGUCUGGCUCAGCUGAGCUCCAUGGACGCCCGCUGCUCUCAUCACUUCUGCCUCCUGCACUCUCUGCUUCCGGUUCUCUGGGUUUCGUGCUGUUCCGCUUCCCAUGGGUGGCCAGCCGAAUGCAU